rnacentral:tRNA from 1 species
GUAUUGGUGGCUCAGUGGUAGAAUUCCCGCCUUCCAUGUGGGAGACCCUGGUUCAAUUCCAGCCAGUGCA